rnacentral:rRNA from 1 species
UACGUAGGGGGCAAGCGUUGUCCGGAUUCAUUGGGCGUAAAGAGCGUGUAGGCGGCCAGGUAGGUCGGUUGUGAAAACUGGAGGCUCAACCUUCAGAGGUCGACCGAAACCAUCUGGCUAGAGUCCGGGAGAGGAGAGUGGAAUUCCUGGUGUAGCGGUGAAAUGCGCAGAUAUCAGGAAGAACACCCGUGGCGAAGGCGGCUCACUGGCCCGGUACUGACGCUGAGGUGCGAAAGCGUGGGGAGCAAACAGG